GAGGAUUUUAUAUUUUUAGUUCCUCUUAAACUUGUCCCAACUGAGAGUAUUUAAGUAUCAACAGAUUUCCAGGGACACGGAGAAUAUGAGCAUAUCAGGGAAUGUAUGCACUCUCAGACCUACCCUGGUGUGGGCUCCAUGGUACAUCCUCCGUGGAGGAUGGAUUGAGAUCUCAGGGUCCUGGCUUUAUCUUGAAAGUAGACAUAGGUAUCAAGCCUUAACUCCUUCUGCAUUUAAAAAUCCUUCUAUCUCAUUGGCUACCUUUGCUCUCAUUUCUAAUUGGAACUAAGGAGAGAGACAGAGCAUGAACGGGGGAGGGGCAGAGAGAGAGGGAGACACAGAUUCGGA